rnacentral:pre_miRNA from 7 species
UUCUCACCUGAGGAAUACCGAAUGGCAGAGAAACUGAAAGACCCCCGAAGGGAGACCCUCACUCAAGCCUCGGGACAGCAGCGGACCCAAGAAGACAUUGAGACCG